rnacentral:rRNA from 1 species
CUCAAAGAUUAAGCCAUGCAUGUCUAAGUACACACGAAUUAAAAGUGAAACCGCAAAAGGCUCAUUAUAUCAGUUAUGGUUCCUUAGAUCGUUAACAGUUACUUGGAUAACUGUGGUAAUUCUAGAGCUAAUACAUGCAAUUAAAACACGGACCUUUUGGAACGUGUGCUUUUAUUAGGCUAAAACCAAGCGAUCGCAAGAUCGUUACACUGGUUGAACUCUAGAUAACAUGCAGAUCGUAUGGUCUUGUACCGACGACAGAUCUUUCAAAUGUCUGCCCUAUCAACUUUUGAUGGUAGUAUCUAGGACUACCAUGGUUGCAACGGGUAACGGGGAAUCAGGGUUCGAUUCCGGAGAGGGAGCCUGAGAAACGGCUACCACAUCUAAGGAAGGCAGCAGGCGCGUAAAUUACCCACUCCCAGCUCGGGGAGGUAGUGACGAAAAAUAACAAUACAGGACUCAUAUCCGAGGCCCUGUAAUUGGAAUGAGUACACUUUAAAUCCUUUAACAAGGACCUAUUGGAGGGCAAGUCUGGUGCCAGCAGCCGCGGUAAUUCCAGCUCCAAUAGCGUAUAUUAAAGUUGUUGCGGUUAAAACGUUCGUAGUUGAACUUGUGCUUCAUACGGGUAGUGCAACUUACAAUUGUAGUUAGUACUAUACCUUUAUGUAUGUAAGCGUAUUACCGGUGGAGUUCUUAUAUGUAAUUAAAUACUUGUAUUUUUUUAUAUGUUCCUCCUAUUUAAAAACCUACAUUAGUGCUCUUCAUCGAGUGUUAUUGUGGGCCGGUACAAUUACUUUGAACAAAUUAGAGUGCUUAAAGCAGGCUUCAAAUGCCUGAAUAUUCUGUGCAUGGGAUAAUGAAAUAAGACCUCUGUUCUGCUUUCAUUGGUUUUCAGAUCAAGAGGUAAUGAUUAAUAGAAGCAGUUUGGGGGCAUUAGUAUUACGACGCGAGAGGUGAAAUUCUUGGACCGUCGUAAGACUAACUUAAGCGAAAGCAUUUGCCAAAGAUGUUUUCAUUAAUCAAGAACGAAAGUUAGAGGUUCGAAGGCGAUCAGAUACCGCCCUAGUUCUAACCAUAAACGAUGCCAGCUAGCAAUUGGGUGUAGCUACUAUUAUGGCUCUCUCAGUCGCUUCCCGGGAAACCAAAGCUUUUGGGCUCCGGGGGAAGUAUGGUUGCAAAGCUGAAGCUUAAAGGAAUUGACGGAAG